rnacentral:rRNA from 1 species
CCAAGGAGUCUAACAUGUGCGCGAGUCAUUGGGUCUUGCUCAGGCCCAAAGGCGCAAUGAAAGUGAAGGCCGGCUCGGUCGGCUGCGUUGGGAUCCCGCCCUCGACGGCGGGCGCACCAACGGCCCGUCCCAGUCGCUGCGUCGACGGGGCGGAGUGAGAGCGUACACGUUGGGACCCGAAAGAUGGUGAACUAUGCCUGGGCAGGACGAAGCCAGAGGAAACUCUGGUGGAGGUCCGCAGCGAUUCUGACGUGCAAAUCGAUCGUCAGACCUGGGUAUAGGGGCGAAAGACUAAUCGAACCAUCUAGUAGCUGGUUCCCUCCGAAGUUUCCCUCAGGAUAGCUGGCGCUCGGAGGAAGCAUUCUCAUCCGGUAAAGCGAAUGAUUAGAGGCCUU